UACGUAGGGUGCGAGCGUUGCCCGGAUUAUUGGGCGUAAAAGGGCGCGUAGGCGGCUCUGCACGUCCGUUGUGAAAUCGCCCGGCUCAACUGGGGCGGGGUCAGCGGAUACGGCGGAGCUUGAGCAAGCUAGGGGGCAAUGGAAUUCCCGGUGUAGUGGUGGAAUGCGUAGAUAUCGGGAGGAACACCAGUGGCGAAGGCGGUUGCCUGGGGGCUUUGCUGACGCUGAUGCGCGAAAGCGUGAGGAGCGAUCCGG
rnacentral:rRNA from 1 species